rnacentral:rRNA from 1 species
GACGAACGCUGGCGGCGUGCUUAACACAUGCAAGUCGAACGGUGAAGCGCCUUCCUUUUUGGUGGGGGUGGAUGAGUGGCGAACGGGUGAGUAACACGUGAGUAACCUGCCCCCUUCUUCUGGAUAACCGCAUGAAAGUGUGGCUAAUACGGGAUAUUCUGGGUCUGUCGCAUGCUGGGUUUGGGAAAGAUAUUGUUUCGGUGGGGGCUGGGCUCGCGGCCUAUCCGUUUGUUGGUGGGGUGAGGGCCUACCAAGGCGGUGACGGGUAGCCGGCCUGGGGGGGUGGCCUGGCACACUGGAGCGGAUGCACGGCCAAGACUCCAACGGGAGGCGGCAGAGGGGAAUAUGGGACAAUGGGGGGAAGCCUGAUGCAGCGACGCCGCGUGAGGGAUGGAGGCCUUCGGGUUGUGAACCUCUUUCGCCAGUGAAGCAGGCCUGCCUCGUUUGUGAGUGGGUUGACGGUAGCUGGAUAAGAAGCGCCGGCUAACUACGUG